UCCUCCGUGGCGCAAUUGGCUAGCGCGUUCGACUGUUAUGAAACAGAUUAUCGAGAGGUUGACAGUUCAAGCCUGUCCGGGGGAG